AGAAUCAACGCUGGCGGCGUGCCUAACACAUGCAAGUCGCACGAGAAAGUGGAGCAAUCCACGAGUAAAGUGGCGCACGGGUGAGUAACACGUGAAUGAUCUACCUCCGAGUGGGGAAUAACUGAGAGAAAUCUUAGCUAAUACCGCAUAACACUUACGAGUCAAAGCAGCAAUGCGCUUGGAGAGGAGUUCGCGGCCGAUUAGCUAGUUGGGCGGGGUAAUCGGCCACCAAGGCGAUGAUCGGUA
rnacentral:rRNA from 1 species